CGGGUGAGGCGCGACACGAAGCUCCCCGCCCGAUCAGAGGCCGCGGGGAGGAGCCGGGCGGACCCCUCCUCGGCGGCGCCGCGCACCGAGCCAACAUGGUGGCGGCAGCGGCAGCGCGGGGUGGAGGGGAGGCGAGGGGCAGCUCCCGAUCGGGGCCUUUCGGGGAGGGUUGCGCAGAGCCCGGCUGCCGCCUUCUUGCUUGACGCCGGUCAGGUGUGUGGCUUCAGCUCUGAGCUCUUCCGCCUGCCGUGGGAAAGGUGUGGAGAAAUUACUCUUCAACCACGCAGCCGGGGAUGUCCAGGCUUGGUGUGUUAUGGAUUUGAGUCAGACAGGGUGAACAGAGCGUCAGGACUGAGCCAGCCCAGGUAACAAAAGCUGGAGAAGAGGCACUUGUGGAAAACUCGCUGUUAAAAUAUGAACAACAGCAACAACAAAAAACACACCACAGUAAGAGGUGGAAGAAGCCUGGAUUUACUGAAAGCAGCCUUGCCACUAGAUAAUGCUUUUUAAUAUUACUAGUAAGAGUUCUUCGACUUCUUCAACUUCUUGUGCUGAGGUUGUUCUUGGCAUUCAUCUGCUUCACUGCUGGGACACUUGCACUGUGAAAUCUGCUGUUCUCUCAUGUUAAAAGAAAGUAACUUUGCCAGCGAAUCUACAGAGAAGCACCUCGACCUCCAGACUGGGAGCAGUCAUUUGAGAUUUAGCAAGUCUCAUGCUGAUGUCAAGGAUAUGCCUUUUGCGGUAUCUCUUAAUAAUACACCCACAUCUGACCUGGUGGUGAGUAAGUCUCUGCACAGCCUCACUUUGCAUGUAGGGGCUUAGCUCAUCUAAGCUGAGUUCUCCCCAAACUAUCUGCAUAUCCUCCCACAAGCCCUGCUUGCCAAGCAGCCUGGAGAUGCUCUGCUCCAAGGCUUCAAAGGCGAAGCCAGCAUUUCUUUGCAAUUAGGUAGAAAUGUACAGCUGGGAUGGACCUCCCACUGUGCAGCAAUCAUUGUGGGAAAGUAUCAGUUGCCUUUCCCUUCUCCACGCCUGGCUUAAAAAGAACAGAAAAGUACAAGAAUAAAUAAAUGAGGAAGACUCUGCUUCCAUGUUGCUCUUCUCUAGUUCUGCAGGCUGCUGCUUUGUCCUGCUCUGUCAUUAGCACACUUCUUGAAGAGCUGGCUCUCAAGUGGGGAAACAAGCGGAGCAAAACCCAGCCCGAGCCCCCUGCACAAGUGUUUAUGCUGGGGAUACAUCAUAGCUUUUUGGAACUUCUAAUGUUUGUAUUCUUCAAAAGGCAGGAAAAAACUGCUACGUUCAGCAGAAAACUCUCUAUAUUCCAUGAACUUAGAACUGAAACUAUAAAAAUGCCAAAUAUUAAUUUUUUUGUUGUUGUUGUUGUUUUGAAUGGAGAGCUUGUAUCAACAUGUGUUUCUCUGAAUUUUGAGUUACUCUUAAAAAAAUGGAGCUGACACGUAUUCCUUCAUUUACCUUAAGCACAUAGUUAAUUGAUCCUGUUGCUUUGGAGAACUGCAAAACUAUGAUGGGAAUACACAAAUCUUCAAUUUUUUAAAAAAUAGUAUCUUACUUCACUAUUUCCUUUUAGUCUCUACAUUUCUUUAAAUAGUCUAUAGCAGCCAAAUAAUAUCAUGCAAGAGAUAUUUCAUUGCUCAUAGAAUAAACUGUAAUUAUGCAAUAAAAGAAUGCAUUUGUCAUUCUCAUAAUGGGACAAAAUUAAUUACUUGGAGACAAAUCCAGCUAAAGAAAAUAAGAGAAAUACUAAAUCAAAAAUACGUAACAUUAAAGGUUACAUUAAUGUUGCUUCCUUCUACUUGUUUUUCCUUUCACUUUUGGUUAAAAAGGGAUUUUCCAAAGCACAGGAAUUUGCUCAUUCUAUUCCUAGUUCUUUGAAAACAGAGUGUAUGAAAAUCAGACUGACUGUUCCACCCUGAAUCAUAUUGUUUGCUUUUGUUUUCUAAUUGGGAAGAAUAAUAAAACAUGGAAAGCUCAAAAAUAUUUGGGUUUUGAAAUGUGGUCUUGGGGCAUCUUUGAUGGAUCAUCCUAACACAGCUGGAAGGGACUCUAUUGUUCUUUAUGGAAAAUAUAAUCCAUCCAGGGACCCCAGAUGACAGGGGAAAUGAGGGGCCUAAAGCAUGACAAACUCCUGAUGAG
ensembl:lncRNA